GCCAGCAUGGCACAGUGGUUUGAGUGUUGAACUAUGAUGCUGAAGACCAGGGUUCGAUUCCCAGCUCAGCA
rnacentral:tRNA from 1 species